rfam:Talaromyces stipitatus ATCC 10500 scf_1105507295523 genomic scaffold, whole genome shotgun sequence.
GGCCUGCUGGCCCAAUGGCAAGGCGUCCGCCUACGGAGCGGAAGAUUGCAGGUUCGAUCCCUGCGUAGGUCA